rnacentral:rRNA from 1 species
CAUGCAGGCGGUUUUGUAAGACAGGCGUGAAAUCCCCGGGCUCAACCUGGGAAUUGCGCUUGUGACUGCAAGGCUGGAGUGCGGCAGAGGGGGAUGGAAUUCCGCGUGUAGCAGUGAAAUGCGUAGAUAUGCGGAGGAACACCGAUGGCGUAGGCAAUCCCCUGGGCCUGCACUGACGCUCAUGCACGAAAGCGUGGGGAGCAAACAGGAUUAGAUACCCCAGUA